rnacentral:rRNA from 1 species
UACGGAGGAUCCGAGCGUUAUCCGGAUUUAUUGGGUUUAAAGGGAGCGUAGGUGGAUUGUUAAGUCAGUUGUGAAAGUUUGCGGCUCAACCGUAAAAUUGCAGUUGAAACUGGCAGUCUUGAGUACAGUAGAGGUGGGCGGAAUUCGUGGUGUAGCGGUGAAAUGCAUAGAUAUUACACAGAACACCGAUUGCGAAGGCAGCUUGCUAGGCCGGAUCUGACACUGAUGCACGAAAGCGUGGGGAUCGAACAGG